rnacentral:rRNA from 1 species
GGACAGUGGCGGACGGGUGAGUAACGCGUGAGGAACCUGCCUUUCAGAGGGGGACAACAGUUGGAAACGACUGCUAAUACCGCAUAAGCCCACGGGUCGGCAUCGACCAGAGGGAAAAGGAGCAAUCCGCUUUGAGAUGGCCUCGCGUCCGAUUAGCUAGUUGGUGAGGUAAUGGCCCACCAAGGCAACGAUCGGUAGCCGGACUGAGAGGUUGAACGGCCACAUUGGGACUGAGACACGGCCCAUACUCC